rnacentral:tRNA from 1 species
GCCGGCGUACUCCAAUUGGCAGAGAGGCUCGGUUUAGGUCCGAGACAGUGCGGGUUCGAAUCCCGCCGCCGGCA